rnacentral:rRNA from 1 species
UACGGAGGGUGCGAGCGUUGUUCGGAAUCACUGGGCGUAAAGCGCGUGUAGGCGGCUUCUUAAGUCCGAUGUGAAAGCCCGGGGCUCACCCCCGGAAGUGCAUUGGAUACUGGGAAGCUGGAGUACCGGAGAGGAGGGUGGAAUUCCUGGUGUAGCGGUGAAAUGCGUAGAUAUCAGGAGGAACACCUGUGGCGAAGGCGGCCCUCUGGACGGAUACUGACGCUGAGACGCGAAAGCGUGGGGAGCAAACAGGAUUAGAUACCCUGGUAGUCCACGCUGUAAACGAUGGGCACUAGGUGUUCGGGGUAUUGACCCCCCGAGUGCCGCAGCUAACGCAUUAAGUGCCCCGCCUGGGGACUACGGCCGCAAGGCUAAA